AGAGUUUGAUCAUGGCUCAGAACGAACGCUGGCGGCGUGGAUAAGACAUGCAAGUCGAGCGAGAUUUUUUCGUUUGUAGCAAUACGAUGGAAAGUCUAGCGGCGAAACGGGUGCUUAACACGUGGGCAACCUGCCAUGAAGUGGGGGAUAGCUCGCCGAAAGGCGAAUUAAUACCGCAUGUGAUUAGAGAGGACAUCCUUUCGAAAUUAAAGUCGGGGCAACCUGACGCUUCUUGUGGGGCCCGCGGCCUAUCAGCUAGUUGGUGAGGUAACGGCUCACCAAGGCUUUGACGGGUAGCUGGUCUGAGAGGACGACCAGCCACACUGGGACUGAGACACGGCCCAGACACCUACGGGUGGCAGCAGUCGAGAAUUUUUGACAAUGGGGGAAACCCUGAUCGAGCGACGCCGCGUGGAGGAUGAAGGUCUUCGGAUUGUAAACUCCUGUCAUUGGGGAACAAGGUGCAUACGUUAACUGCGUGUGCAUUGAUAGUACCCGAAGAGGAAGAGACGGCUAACUCUGUGCCAGCAGCCGCGGUAAUACAGAGGUCUCAAGCGUUGUUCGGAUUCAUUGGGCGUAAAGGGUGCGUAGGCGGCGCGGUAAGUCGGGUGUGAAAUCUCGGAGCUUAACUCCGAAACUGCAUUCGAUACUGCCGUGCUUGAGGACUGGAGAGGAGACUGGAAUUUACGGUGUAGCGGUGAAAUGCGUAGAUAUCGUAAGGAAGACCAGUGGCGAAGGCGGGUCUCUGGACAGUUCCUGACGCUGAGGCACGAAGGCCAGGGGAGCAAACGGGAUUAGAUACCCCCGUAGUCC
rnacentral:rRNA from 1 species